rnacentral:rRNA from 1 species
CCUACGGGAGGCAGCAGUGGGGGAUAUUGCACAAUGGGGGAAACCCUGAUGCAGCGACGCCGCGUGAGUGAAGAAGCAUCUCGGGGCGUAAAGCCCUAUCAGCAGGGAAGAAAAUGACGGUACCUGAAGAAGAAGCCCCGGCUAACUACGUGCCAGCAGCCGCGGUAAUACGUAGGGGGCAAGCGUUAUCCGGAUUUACUGGGUGUAAAGGGGGCGUAGACGGCGGUGCAAGUCAGGAGUGAAAACCAGGGGCUUAACCCCUGGACUGCAUUGGAAACUGUGGUGCUUGAGUGCUGGAGGGGUAAGCGGAAUUCCGAGUGUAGCGGUGAAAUGCGUAGAUAUAAGGAGGAACACCGGUGGCGAAGGCGGCGUACUGGACAAUAACUGACGCUGAGGCGCGAAAGCGUGGGGAGCAAACAGGAUUAGAUACCCCAGUAGUC